UUUUAUCUUCUUUUUCUUUGUUCUUUCUUUCCUCCACACGGUGACCAGCUCCGCGGAGGAGGAGAAGAACGAGUUUCCCGGACAGAGAAGAAGCGUCAGAGGAUGAAGAAUGAAGCGUCUAGUGUUGAGGAGCGACUCCCUGAGAGAAAUUAAAAACAUGGCUCGACUCCAGGUUUUCUCUGGCUCUGUCAUGAAGUUAACGAAUCAGCUUAAAGGACAAAACUGCUGACUGACGAACGAACACGCCUGGAAAUCUGCAGCAUGGCAGAGAAUUUUAAUAAAUAUCUCAUUAUUCUUUGCUGUUCAGCAGAAAACAAAACCAUUACCAAAGUGUUUUAUUAUGCACUCUCACAAAAACAAAAAAUAUUUUAACAGUUUUGAAUUCAUUUUUUCUUUUUUAACAAAAGUUUACAGUAAAAAUCUGUCAGCAGAGGGAAGCAGAGACCAGCUGUAGACUCAACACACCAACAUUAUAUUUAGUGAUUUAUUUCAUAUUUACUGAACAACAAAGAAAUAAAAUGUCUUUAUAUAUACUGUACACAUCUAUGUGAGUAACAGUUGCUUUUGUUGCUCAGGAUGUUGACGUCACAACAAAAGCUGUGCACCAAGAGCCAAGCUCCAUGCCUAGAUUUAUAAACAUCAACAUUUAAGAUUUAACUUUUACAUUUAGAUUGAAGAUUUCACACCCAUAACAUUUAAAUUUAACAUUUAGUAAAAAUUAUAUCAUGUUGUGUCAUGUUUAUACGGAGCCCGUGAGGUGACAGUAGGGUUGGGGUCUCAGAAUCCUGACUUUCUCUCUCAGGAUCCCGAGAAAAUUUUACAGGAUCCCCCAUGUCCCCUUACUGGCUCUGUAAUAUUAUGUAACGUCAUGUUGUGGCAUGUUGUUUUUUCCAGUUGGCAAACAAUGAUGUAGUGUCACCUGUUGGUAUGGAAUGUGGACUGGGUCAGUGCUCAAAAGAUUAAGUGUGUUUUAAAUACUGAA